AUGGUCCUGGGCGUGAGCAGUCAGGGGAUCCUAUGGAAGAUGCUGGCGUGGGCGCCGCCGUCGGCCUUCCUCCACGUCAGCCUCCUGCUGCCCCACGUGCUCUGGUACAUCUCGCUGGCGCUCAUGGCCCUCGUCUCCUCCAUCUACCUCCUCAAGCUCGUCUUCUACUUCGAGGCCGUCCGCCGCGAGUUCCACCACCCCAUCCGCGCCAACUUCUUCUUCGCACCCUGGAUCGCAUGCCUCUUCCUCAUGCAGGGCACGCCGCGCGACAUGGCCAAGAUCCACCCCGCCGCAUGGUACGCUCUCAUGGCGCCCAUCUUCUGCCUCCAGCUCAAGAUCUACAGCCAAUGGAUGUCCGGCGGCCAGCGCCGGCUCUCCAAGGUGGCUAACCCGUCCAACCACCUCUCCAUCGCCGGCAACUUUGUCGGCACGCUGCUGGGCGCCAAGAUGGGCCUCCGCGAGGGCCCCGUCUUCUUCUUUGCCGUCGGGCUCGCGCACUACAGUGUCCUAUUCGUCACGCUCUACCAACGGCUCCCCACCAACAUCACGCUCCCCAAGGAGCUCUACCCCGUCUUCUUCCUCUUCGUCGCCGCGCCUAGCGUCGCCUCCAUGGCUUGGGCCCAAAUAAAUGGCGAGUUCGACAACGGCGCACAGGUCACCUUCUUCAUCGCACUCUUCCUCUACAUGCCACUGGCCGUGCGAAUCAACUUCUUUAGAGGAUUUCGGUUCUCGCUGGCGUGGUGGGCAUACACGUUCCCGAUGACCGGUGUGUCAAUCGCGACCAUAACAUACGCCACGGAGGUGAACAACGUGCUCACGCGGACUCUCUCGAUCGGCCUCUCGGGCGUUGCCACCGUCACGGUAGCCGGCCUGCUGGUGACCACCAUGCUCCACGCCUUCGUGCUCAGGGACCUCUUCCCCAACGACGUCUCCAUCGCCAUCACCCAAAGGAAGCCCAAGUUCAGCAAGAUGCUCGCGCACCUCCGCUCCUCCAGCUCCGAUAUGAAGGAGCUCGUGCUCUCCGUGUCCAAGUCGCCCAACUCUGACUCCCAUGAGUCGGCCGCGGGGGAUCGAUCGAGGGAGACUCAUCUGUCCGUCCACAAAGGCAAUGCAGAGCCGUAG
rnacentral:rRNA from 1 species